rnacentral:rRNA from 1 species
CAGCCGCCACGGUAAUACGUAGGUGGCAAGCGUUGUCCGGAAUUAUUGGGCGUAAAGGGCUCGCAGGCGGUUUCUUAAGUCUGAUGUGAAAGCCCCCGGCUCAACCGGGGAGGGUCAUUGGAAACUGGGAAACUUGAGUGCAGAAGAGGAGAGUGGAAUUCCACGUGUAGCGGUGAAAUGCGUAGAGAUGUGGAGGAACACCAGUGGCGAAGGCGACUCUCUGGUCUGUGACUGACGCUGAGGAGCGAAAGCGUGGGGAGCGAACAGGAUUAGAUACCCCCGUAGUCCCUGUCUCUUAUAC